GACAUAGGUCGCAAACGUUAUCCGGAAUUAUUGGGCGUAAAGAGCUCGUAGGCGGCUUGUCACGUCGGGUGUGAAAGCCCGGGGCUUAACCCCGGGUCUGCAUUCGAUACGGGCUAGCUAGAGUGUGGUAGGGGAGAUCGGAAUUCCUGGUGUAGCGGUGAAAUGCGCAGAUAUCAGGAGGAACACCGGUGGCGAAGGCGGAUCUCUGGGCCAUUACUGACGCUGAGGAGCGAAAGCGUGGGGAGCGAACAGG
rnacentral:rRNA from 1 species